rnacentral:lncRNA from 1 species
GUGGCAUUCAACUUCUCUCUGUGCUCUUCAAGACAAAACUCCAAAUCUCGAAUCUUCUCUCCCUGAGCCUCCACCUGGUCUGUUAACACACUUACCUGUCCAAAACAAAAACAAAAACAAAACCCAGGGAAUUCAAAUUCCAUGAGCUCUUUGAAGAUGACACAGAUCACAGAUGCGUUCAAAGUCAGGGGGCAACUCAAUAUACCCAAAGGUGCAUGAGGAGCCGUUGGGCUAGUCCUUCAACUCUAGUGCUUAUAUUCUACUUUGGAACCUUGAUUUCCUGUUUUGCUGGGACCUGUAAU